GCCUCGUUAUAUCAGUCGGUAGAUAGUGUGACUCUUACGCAGCACCGCCGAGUGAUCACACAGUCAUGGGUUCGAGCCCCAUACGAGGCU
rnacentral:tRNA from 2 species